GCUUACGGCCAUACCACCCUGAGAACGCCCGAUCUCGUCUGAUCUCGGAAGCUAAGCAGGGUCAUGCCUGGUUAGUACUUGAAUGGGAGACCGCCUGGGAAUACCAGGUGCUGUAAGCU
rnacentral:rRNA from 1 species